rnacentral:rRNA from 1 species
UGGGGAAGUUUUCCGUCAAUGGGCGGAAAGCCUGACGGAGCAAUGCCGCGUGGAGGUGGAAGGCCUACGGGUCGUCAACUUCUUUUCUCGGAGAAGAAACAAUGACGGUAUCUGAGGAAUAAGCAUCGGCUAACUCUGUGCCAG